CAAUAGCGUAUAUUAAAGUUGUUGCAGUUAAAAAGCUCGUAGUUGAAUUUUUGCUUGCCGCCGAUGUCGGAACUUCCGUACGUUCGGCGGCGUGCAUCCUUGGGUGGAACCUGUGCGGCAUUAGGUUGUCGUGCAGGGGAUGCCCAUCGUUUACUGUGAAAAAAUUAGAGUGUUCAAAGCAGGCUUAUGCCGUUGAAUAUAUUAGCAUGGAAUAAUAAGAUAGGACCUUGGUACUAUUUUGUUGGUUUGCGCACCAAGGUAAUGAUUAAUAGGGACAGUUGGGGGUAUUCGUAUUCCAUUGUCAGAGGUGAAAUUCUUGGAUUUUUGGAAGACGAACUACUGCGAAAGCAUUUACCAAGGAUGUUUNCAUUAA
rnacentral:rRNA from 1 species